UACGUAGGAGGCGAGCGUUGUCCGGAAUUACUGGGCGUAAAGCGCGUGUAGGCGGUCCGGUAAGUCCGCUGUGAAAGUCGGGGGCUCAACCCUCGGAUGCCGGUGGAUACUGUCGGGCUUGAGUACGGAAGAGGCGAGUGGAAUUCCUGGUGUAGCGGUGAAAUGCGCAGAUAUCAGGAGGAACACCAAUUGCGAAGGCAGCUCGCUGGGACGUUACUGACGCUGAGACGCGAAAGCGUGGGGAGCAAACAGG
rnacentral:rRNA from 1 species